GCGCGGCCGGGCCGGCGCGGCCAGCUCGGGCUCAUCGAGCAGCAGCCCGAUGCGGCGGGCGGCGGCGGUCGCCUCGCGGACCGAGCCC
rnacentral:tRNA from 1 species